rnacentral:rRNA from 1 species
UACGUAGGGUGCAAGCGCUGUCCGGAAUUAUUGGGCGUAAAGAGCUCGUAGGCGGUUUGUUGCGUCGGCUGUGAAAUCCCGAGGCUCAACCUCGGGUCUGCAGUCGAUACGAGCAAACUAGAGUGUUGCAGGGGAGACUGGAAUUCCUGGUGUAGCGGUGAAAUGCGUAGAUAUCGGGAGGAACAUCGAUGGCGAAGGCAACCGUCUGGGCCUGAACUGACACUGUGACACGAAAGCGUGGGUAGCAAACAGG